UCGUUUCAAGCUAAAGAGAAUUACAUAAAUAGGCUCCUUAUUUUAGUAAUCCCCUCCUUCUCUUUCCUUUACGAAUCUCUCAGUUUCAGAGCUCAAAAACAAAGCUCACCUCUCAACACAGCGUCCUCGACGACUACCGAAAAAAAUCUGCUGAUUCUAUUUUUUGUCCAUGGAGAAAGUGAAUACUUGAAUGAAUAUUUAUUCUCUUGAGGAAUUUUAGUUGUGAUCGAGAUCGGAGGAAAAAAAUGCGGGUGAAGGAAAUGCAUCCGCUGUGUUGUAUAUCUUUGGAGAGUCCCGGCAUCGGCGACCAGUCACCGGAGGUUUCUUUGACUCGAGCGAGGAGCAUGCCAGCCGGGAGUUUAUCCGGAUCUGAAACAGGCAAUGCGUCGAGGUUGACGACGCGAGGAUCCGAAGGCACUGUUGCCGGAAUUCUCUACAAAUGGACUAAUUACGGCAAAGGAUGGAGAUCCAGGUGGUUUUUGCUUCGUAACGGAGUGUUAUCUUACUCGAAGAUUCGCCGUCCGGAGACUCUAAACCUCCUCUCUCCUACUGAUGACGUCAGAUUGAUCGGUGAUAUCUCAACCAAUCGGCUUUCGAGGAUGGACAGUUGUAGCGGUAGACGGAAACACCAGAAAACCGUUGGCAUUAUUCAUUUAAAGAGUGGGUCACAUCAGCAGGUGGGCUUGGAGGGCUGCAAUAGGCAGAUCUCGUCAUUCCGGGAGAGCAAAUCUGAUGACAGACGGUUUUACAUUUUCACUGCUACAAAGACCCUUCAUUUGAGAACUGAUUCAAAGAGAGAUCGGAUUGCUUGGAUACAAGCUUUGGUAUCAACCAGGAGCCUCUUUCUGCUGAGACCACUAAAUGAUAACCUCUCCCUUGUACCCCAUGAUUUGUCUAUAUCAACUGAUAAGCUCAAGAAACGGUUGCUUGAGGAGGGAAUCAGUGAUAAUCUUGUGAAGGAUUGCGAGCAGAUUAUGCUCACAGAGUUCUCGGAGAUACAAGGACAACUGAAAGUUCUUUGUGAAGAAAGGUCUAAUUUGCUUGACACGUUAAGACAGUUGGAGGCAGCUAAUAUUGAAGCUGAAACCUCUGGAAUACAUGAUGGCGAUUUCCAAUUGACGAAGCAUGAAUAUUCCGGUAUAGGGCGUGGAAAAUAUAGUGAAUGCAGCACGACUGAAUCAUCUGAUGAUAUUGAGAAACAAGAGCUUGAGGAAGUGUCUGAUGAAGAUGAAACCUCCUUUUAUGACACAAAAGAGUAUUUUACUGAACCCCCUGUUAGUUGUGGAUCUGUAAGAGGGGCAGCUGAUCAUGCAGAAAAUCAGAAAGAAGCUGAAAAACAAUUUGAUAAUGUGGAAAAGAUGCAUGCUGAUAAAGAAGAUUGUGAUUCCAGAUAUCCUCAAAUUGAAAGACGGAAAAAGCUUCCUGAUCCAAUUGAAAAAGAGAAAGGCGUUAGCCUUUGGUCUAUGAUCAAAGACAAUGUGGGAAAGGAUCUCACUCGAGUUUGUCUCCCUGUUUACUUUAAUGAACCAAUAUCAUCCCUUCAGAAAUGUUUUGAGGACCUAGAGUAUUCUUAUCUUUUGGACCGAGCAUACAAGUAUGGAAAAGAAGGGAACAGUCUCCAGCGGAUUCUAAAUGUUGCUGCAUUUGCUGUUUCUGGGUAUGCUUCUUCUGAAGGCCGACACUGUAAGCCCUUCAAUCCCUUACUAGGAGAAACUUAUGAAGCUGACUAUCCUGACAAAGGAGUUCGUUUCUUCUCUGAGAAGGUUAGUCACCACCCAACCCUUAUUGCCUGUCACUGUGAAGGUAAAGGAUGGAAAUUCUGGGGUGACAGCAACCUCCGCACAAAGUUUUGGGGGCGGUCAAUUCAGCUUGACCCUGUUGGAGUUCUGACCCUUGAGUUUGAUGAUGGUGAAAUAUUUCAGUGGAGCAAGGUGACAACAAGUAUUUAUAAUCUUAUCCUUGGUAAAGUGUAUUGUGAUCACCAUGGAUUGAUGCAAAUUUGUGGGAAUCGUGAAUAUUCAUGCAAGCUCAAAUUCAAGGAGCAGUCUAUUCUUGACAGGAACCCUCGUCAGGUCCAUGGGUUUGUUGAAGACCUUUCCGGUAAAAAGGUUGCAACAUUAAUUGGCAAAUGGGAUGACAGCAUGUAUUAUGUCAGUGGUGAUGGAAGUGCCAGGCCAAAGGACUGCAAUCCUUCAUCAAAUGCGUCCUUGCUAUGGAAGAGGAACAAGCCACCUCCUAAUUUGACUCGCUACAACUUAACGUCAUUUGCAAUCACACUAAAUGAGCUAACACCAGGACUGCAGCUUUGUCUGAUCCCGGGUAUUUGAUCACGGAUUAAGGAGAAGCUCCCACCUACGGAUUCCAGGCUUAGACCAGACCAACGGCAUUUGGAAAAUGGGGAAUAUGAGAGAGCAAAUGCAGAGAAACAGCGGUUGGAAAGGAGGCAGAGAAUGUCAAGGAAACUACAAGAAAAUGGGUGGAAUCCUAGAUGGUUUGAGAGAGAAGGUGAAAAUGGAUCCUUCCGCUAUGUGGGCGGUUAUUGGGAAGCAAGAGAACAGGGGAAAUGGGAUGGAUGUCCAAAUAUAUUUGGUGAAUUCAACGAAGAACUUGUUGAUUCCACUGAACGACCCUGACUUCAAUUUUAGAAUGGACAAACAUUGGAGACAAUCAUGGAGCAAAAUUGAGAAAUGAAGAGUUUUAAGUAGCUUUGAUUUCUGAUUGCCAUUCAUUCUAUAUCUGCUGGCAAAGAUCGCAGACCAAUAUUCACAUGGUCGUUCCAAGAGACAUCUAUGUGAAGAAUUUGAUCUUUCAGUCAGUAGAUAAUGCAUAGGUCAGAGCCAAAAUUUUUCUGUAACAUUCUCUAGUGUGGGAAUUGUUUGUGUAAUGUAAUUUCUCCAUAGUUCAUUUAUUCUAGCUCCAUUCAACUGAAUUAGCCGAUCUGGCUGACAAUUUCAUUUCAUAAUUAUUUGUAUUUUCUUCCUAGCAAUAAAUCAAAAGAAAGAAGAAGAAGCGCAUUCUUGCCAUCAGCCAAACAUGGGAUUGCUUUGCUGGUGUUGUGUAA